rnacentral:rRNA from 1 species
AGUAGAUUUAGCAUGCUAGUCGUGCGAGUUCACACUCGCGGCUGUAGCUCAUGGACACGUGGCCUACUACCCUACAGAGACGCAUAACCUCGGGAAACUGAGGCUAAUUCGUCAUACCCCUCUCACGCUGGAAUGCCAAGAGGCACAAACGCUCCCGCGCUGUAGGAUGUGGCUGCGGCCGAUUAGGUAGACGGUGGGGUAACGGCCCACCGUGCCCAUAAUCGGUACGGGUUGUGAGAGCAAGAGCCCGGAGACGGAAUCUGAGACAAGAUUCCGGGCCCUACGGGGCGCAGCAGGCGCGAAACCUUUACACUGCACGCACGUGCGAUAAGGGGACUCCGAGUGCGAGGGCAUAUCGUCCUCGCUUUUGUGUACCGUAGGGCGGUACACGAACAAGAGCUGGGCAAGACCGGUGCCAGCCGCCGCGGUAAUACCGGCAGCUCAAGUGAUGGCCGAUCUUAUUGGGCCUAAAGCGUCCGUAGCUGGCCUCGAAAGUCCGUCGGGAAAUCCACACGCCCAACGUGUGGGCGUCCGGCGGAAACUCCGAGGCUUGGGACCGGAAGGCUCGAGGGGUACGUCCGGGGUAGGAGUGAAAUCCCGUAAUCCCGGACGGACCACCGAUGGCGAAAGCACCUCGAGAAAACGGAUCCGACAGUGAGGGACGAAAGCUAGGGUCUCGAACCGGAUUAGAUACCCGGGU